GAUAAAGUGAUGUUGUUUGCACAACUCAGUGUCCUCAAGAGAAGUCUGUCAUGAUCCUGCCCCCUGCAGUGAAUCUUGAGCACUUUGGAAAGUGCACAUGUGUGAGAGGGGUGACUCCUUGUUUAUGCUUGGCUGGCAUCGCAGAGCUGGAGUUAAGAAUGUGGACUUUGGAGUGAGUCUGUGAUAUUCAAUACUAUUAUUAACACCCAACACUGGCCAAGUAUGUAGUGAAUGCAUACCAGGUUCUGGGCAAGGCCCUGCACACCACUCCCCCUGGUUAAUCCUCACUGCAAUUCUAAGAGGUACUGAUGUCAUCUCUGCUUCCCAGCUGAAGAAGCCAAGACUCAGCUGAUUUAAGUUGUUGUCCACAACCAACAGCAUGGUAGCCUUGGGUGCUGGCUGCAGAAUCAAUCAGGUUGUCCAAAGAUGAAUCAUGAAAUAUCUUACAGUCUGCAUAAACUGGGUGGGGGGGCAAUAGAACCUCUUGAAGCUUGAGUUUCCUUAUCUGUAAAGCAGAAAACAAAGUUAUUUCUCAGGUUGCUAGGAUGCUAAAUGAAAGAGCAUAUGUGUUGCAGCUGCCACAGUGCUGGUGUGCAGUGGGUAGGGUAAAUAGAGGUAAACUGCUUGCUUUCCUCCUCAUGAACUUCAUCAUUGCUCAGUGAGCUCCUACAAGGUUCUGGGCAGAGUAGGGAAAGCAAGAUGUACUGUGUAUGGAGCUGGGAAUAUGCUACAGAAAGUCAGAGAGCAAUUGCACCAUCCUGGUAUGGAGUAGGCUGGGGACACUUCAUAGAAGGCAAUAAUAAUUGUUAACCCUUAUGUGGCACUUCCUAUUUGCCAGAUGGGGCAUGCAUGCCUA